UGAGUUACAGUUCAUAUAAGGAUGAUAACGGAUGAAAUCCAUAAUUUAUUUGAGACAUUAUUUAAUUAUUUAAUGUAACAAAUCAAACAUUAAACCUUGUAAACAAUUCAUGGUGAUUCAUGGUAACCUCGUAAACAAUUUAUUUAUACCCAGCGUUUAUUUGAAACAGGUGUUUAUUUGCUGAAAUGUGUGCCGUUGCCUGGCUAUUAAAAGGGACAGGUGGCUAUUUGAGACACUGCGUUUAAUUGAUGUUUUAAGUAAUGCAUUACAAUGAGAAUGCCAACCGAGCCUAAGCAACCAUGGCUACAGGGGAGUGACGAUACUCCAUCUGGUAACCCAAGUACAAGGGAGAACAAUACUCUGUGCGGGCUCUGAAAAGUGAUCCUACUUUCGGCUACGUACAAAACCUGUUGGAUUUGCUGUUCAGCAGUGUGGUGGUAACCCCCUAGCCAUAUCAGGAGCUGUUCCAAAGGGUGCCUGUACCCGUCUCCCUUUGCUCAGAGUAUGAUAGACCAGAAAAGGCUGAGGCAGUAGCCAGAUACCAGCCCCGCUUCAGGGUAGGGGAGAACACUUGAAUCAGUGGGCUGUGUGUGUUUGUGUGUAACCAACCAGUAUCUUUGAUGAGGGGCCAGGAGCACACUUCACCUCCAGCCUUACCUCGUGCUUGCUCACCAAUGGUCGUCGAUGGGGAGAACAGAAUUAGAUGCAUGAAACGCAGAGCUGGCACUCAACACAUCCACAAUGUGGGACUGAAGUUGAUGAUUCAUAAUACAGUACAGUAUAAAUGUAUCGUAAUAGCAACACCGUUUUCAUUCCAUGUGUCACUGAUGAACUCUGCCUCAACUCUACCUAUUUCUACAGAUGGACUGGAGAUGCUUUUGUCAGACGCCAGCCUCAGUCAUUUGAUGGGGAGUCCACAAUUGGACACAUGUAUGUAGCCAGCAAAUGGAGACUUGCAAGAUGAUGUGAUGGAGUCCAGACUGACCGACCAGCUUGAUACAGAUGUCUCGGAAUAGAGAGAACUUGCAUUCAUAAAAAUCUUACUUGACAAAACUUU